AUUGAACGCUGGCGGCAUGCCUUACACAUGCAAGUCGAACGGUAACGGGCCUUCGGGUGCCGACGAGUGGCGAACGGGUGAGUAAUACAUCGGAACGUGCCCGAUCGUGGGGGAUAACGAGGCGAAAGCUUUGCUAAUACCGCAUACGAUCUACGGAUGAAAGCAGGGGACCGCAAGGCCUUGCGCGGACGGAGCGGCCGAUGGCAGAUUAGGUAGUUGGUGGGAUAAAAGCUUACCAAGCCGACGAUCUGUAGCUGGUCUGAGAGGAUGAUCAGCCACACUGGGACUGAGACACGGCCCAGACUCCUACGGGAGGCAGCAGUGGGGAAUUUUGGACAAUGGGCGCAAGCCUGAUCCAGCCAUGCCGCGAGCAGGAUGAAGGCCUUCGGGUUGUAAACUGCUUUUGUACGGAACGAAAAGCCUUCUUUUAAUACAGGAGGGUCAUGACGGUACCGUAAGAAUAAGCACCGGCUAACUACGUG
rnacentral:rRNA from 1 species